rnacentral:rRNA from 1 species
GGUUCGAUUAUGGCUCAGAUUGAACGCUGGCGGGAUACUUUUAUGCAAGUCGAACGGCAGCACGGACUUCGGUCUGGUGGCGAGGAUGGCGAACAGGUGAGUAAUGUAUCGGAACGUGCCUAGUAGCGGGGGAUAACUACGCGAAAGCGUAGCUAAUACCACAUACGCCCUUCGGGGGAAAGCGAGAGGCCAUUUAGAACGCGAAACUAUUAGAGCGGCCGAUAUCGGAUUAGCUGGUUGGUGGGGUAACGGCUCACAGGCGACGAUCCGUAGCUGGUUUGAGGACGACCAGCCACUGGGACGAGACACACGAAGCCCGAACUCCACAGGGACGGCAGUGGGGGUACCCGGACAAUGGGGAAACUGAUGAUCCAGCCAUCCCGCGUGUGCGAUGAAGGCCUUCGGGUUGUAAAGCACUUUUGGCAGGAAAGAAACGGCACGGGAUAAUACCCCGUGCAACUGACAAUUGCCUGCAGAAUAAGCGCGUUUCGACACUACGUGCCAGCAGCCGCUGAUGGUACGUAGAAGUGCGAAGCGUUGAUCGGAAUUACUGGGCGUAAAGCGUGCGCAGGCGGUUCGGAAGAAGAUGUGAAAUCCCAGAGCUUAACUUUGGGGCUUUGCAUUUUAGACUUCACCGAGCUAGAGUGUCAAGAGAGUGGAAUUCCGCGUGUAGCAGUGAAAUGCACCGAUGGCGGGCAACCUCCUGGGAUAACACUGACGCUCAUGCGGCACGAAAAGCGUGGGGAGCAAACAGGAUUAGAUGCCCUGGUACAGUGAAGUCCACGCCCUAAACGAUAUCAACAGCUGCUGAGAUGUCUCGACGCGGUAGCGCAACUAACGCGUGAAGUUGACCGCCUGGGAAGUACGGUCGCAAGAUUAAAACUCGAGGAAUUGACGGGGACCCACUGAAAGCGGUGGAUGAUGUAGAUUAAUUCGAUGCAGCGCGAAAAACCUUACCUACCCUUGACAUGUCUGGAAUCCCGAAGAGAUUUGGGAGUGCUCGCAAGAGAGCCGGAACACAGGUGCUGCAUGGCUGUCGUCGGCUCGUGUCGGCUGGAAUAUUGGGUUAAGUCCCGCAACGAGCGCAACCACUUGUCAUUAGUUGCUACGAAAGGGCACUCUAAUGAGACUGCCGGUGACAAACGGAGGAAGGUGGGGAUGACGUCGAAUCCUCAUGGCCCUUAUGGGUAGGGCUACUGCAUCAUACAAUGGUCAAGGGACAGAGGUCGCCAACCCCGCGAGAGGAGCCAAUCCAAGCCCGAUCGUAGUCCGGAUCGCGAUCUCUGGCCUGGACUGCGUGAAGUCGAAAUCGCUAAUAAUCGCCGGAUCAACAUUAUUGAAGCGCAGUGAAUACGUUCCCGGGUCUUGUACACACCGCCCGUCACAUGGGUGGUUUACCGAAGUAGUUAGCUAACCGUAAAGGAGGGCGAUUACCACGAUAGGAUUCUUGACAGGGUGAAGUCGUAACAAAGUAA